ACUCCUACGGGAGGCAGCAGUGGGGAAUAUUGCACAAUGGGCGCAAGCCUGAUGCAGCCAUGCCGCGUGUAUGAAGAAGGCCUUCGGGUUGUAAAGUACUUUCAGCAGUGAGGAAGGCAGGUACGUUAAUAGCGUGCUUGUUUGACGUUAGCUGCAGAAGAAGCACCGGCUAACUCCGUGCCAGCAGCCGCGGUAAUACGGAGGGUGCGAGCGUUAAUCGGAAUUACUGGGCGUAAAGCGCAUGCAGGUGGUUUGUUAAGUCAGAUGUGAAAGCCCGGGGCUCAACCUCGGAAUUGCAUUUGAAACUGGCAGACUAGAGUACUGUAGAGGGGGGUAGAAUUUCAGGUGUAGCGGUGAAAUGCGUAGAGAUCUGAAGGAAUACCGGUGGCGAAAGGCGGCCCCCUGGACAGAUACUGACACUCAGAUGCGAAAGCUGGGGAGCAAACAGGAUUAGAUACCCUGGUAGCACAGAG
rnacentral:rRNA from 1 species